UAAUACAUGCAAGUCGAACGAGUUCUCGUUGAUGAUCGGUGCUUGCACCGAGAUUCAACAUGGAACGAGUGGCGGACGGGUGAGUAACACGUGGGUAACCUGCCCUUAAGUGGGGGAUAACAUUUGGAAACAGAUGCUAAUACCGCAUAGAUCCAAGAACCGCAUGGUUCUUGGCUGAAAGAUGGCGUAAGCUAUCGCUUUUGGAUGGACCCGCGGCGUAUUAGCUAGUUGGUGAGGUAAUGGCUCACCAAGGCGAUGAUACGUAGCCGAACUGAGAGGUUGAUCGGCCACAUUGGGACUGAGACACGGCCCAAACUCCUACGGGAGGCAGCAGUAGGGAAUCUUCCACAAUGGACGCAAGUCUGAUGGAGCAACGCCGCGUGAGUGAAGAAGGCUUUCGGGUCGUAAAACUCUGUUGUUGGAGAAGAAUGGUCGGCAGAGUAACUGUUGUCGGCGUGACGGUAUCCAACCAGAAAGCCACGGCUAACUACGUG
rnacentral:rRNA from 1 species